GUACAAAGCCGACUGCCCAGUCCCAGUGGUGUCAUGUGUCACUCAGUAUUUAAGGAAAACCUAUUUGCCAGAUUUCUAAAAACUUGCCUGGCUCUCUCUAUAGCAGGGGCAGGGGUAUGGAGAGGAUUUGUAUGAUGGAUUUGGAGGUCACGCAAAACCCGAAAUUUACCCAAAAGGUGCCGGUUCCUCCAGUUCAUCACUUUCAGGCACUAAAAAGAAGAGAGGACCAGUCACAAUGAAAAUUAAAGGUAAAACGCAGACCACGACAUUAGAUUACUUUUACUCUCAAUAAUAUACAUUGAAGAUGUUAAUUUGCUGCUAAUAGUCUAUCCAUCAAUGUCCUCCAAAAACAAAUU